rnacentral:rRNA from 1 species
UUUUAGCAUGGAAUAAUGGAAUAGGACCGCGGUUCUAUUUUGUUGGUUUUCGGAACUGAGGCCAUGAUUAAGAGGGACGGCCGGGGGCAUUCGUAUUGCGCCGCUAGAGGUGAAAUUCUUGGACCGGCGCAAGACGGACCAGAGCGAAAGCAUUUGCCAAGAAUGGUUUCAUUAAUCAAGAACGAAGGUCGGAGGUUCGAAGACGAUCAAAUACCGUCGUAGUUCCGACCAUAAACGAUGCCGACCGGCGAUGCGGCGGCGUUAUUCCCAUGACCCGCCGGGCAGCUUCCGGGAAACCAAAGUCUUUGGGUUCCGGGGGGAGUAUGGUUGCAAAGCUGAAACUCAAAGGAAUCGACGGAAGGGCACCACCAGGAGUGGAGCCUGCGGCUUAAUUUGACUCAACACGGGAAACCUCACCCGGCCCGGACACGGACAGGAUUGACAGAUUGAUAGCUCUUUCUCGAUUCCGUGGGUGGUGGUGCAUGGCCGUUCUUAGUUGGUGGAGCGAUUUGUCUGGUUAAUUCCGAUAACGAACGAGACUCUGGCAUGCUAACUAGUUACGCGACCCCCGAGCGGUCGGCGUCCCCCAACUUCUUAGAGGGACAAGUGGCGUUCAGCCACCCGAGAUUGUGCAAUAACAGGUCUGUGAUGCCCUUAGAUGUCCGGGGCUGCACGCGCGCUACACUGACUGGCUCAGCGUGUGCCUACCCUACGCCGGCAGGCGC